GGCAGUGUGGUGCAGUGGUUAGAGCGCUGGACUAGGACCCGAGAAAGCAGGGUUCAAAUCCCCACUCAGGCA